rnacentral:rRNA from 1 species
GCGUGCCUAACACAUGCAAGUCACGGGGGCCCGCAAGGGCAACCGGCGAACGGGUGCGUAACACGUGAGCAAUCUGCCGUUUUCUGGGGGAUAGCCGGCCCAACGGCCGGGUAAUACCGCAUACGCUCAUCGGGGGACAUCCCCUGGUGAGGAAACCUCCGGGGGAAAACGAGGAGCUCGCGACCUAUCAGCUAGUUGGCGGGGUAACGGCCCACCAAGGCGACGACGGGUAGCUGGUCUGAGAGGAUGGCCAGCCACAUUGGGACUGCGACACGGCCCAGACUCCUACGGGAGGCAGCAGUGGGGAAUAUUGCGCAAUGGACGAAAGUCUGACNCANCGACGCCGCGUGUGGGAUGAAGCUCUUCGGGGUGUAAACCACUGUUGCCCGGGACGAAUNUCCUCCUUCAGGAGGAUUGACGGUACCGGGUGAGGAAGCACCGGCUAACUCUGUGCCA